rnacentral:rRNA from 1 species
GACGUAGGGCGCGAGCGUUGUCCAGAUUUAUUGGGCGUAAAGAGCUCGUAGGCGGUGUGUCGCGUCGGCCGUGAAAACCUGCAGCUUAACUGUGGGCUUGCGGUCGAUACGGGCAUCACUGGAGUUCGGCAGGGGAGACUGGAAUUCCUGGUGUAGCGGUGAAAUGCGCAGAUAUCAGGAGGAACACCGGUGGCGAAGGCGGGUCUCUGGGCCGAUACUGACGCUGAGGAGCGAAAGCGUGGGGAGCGAACAGG